rnacentral:rRNA from 1 species
UGCAGUCGAACGGUGAAGCCAAGCUUGCUUGGUGGAUCAGUGGCGAACGGGUGAGUAACACGUGAGCAACCUGCCCUGGACUCUGGGAUAAGCGCUGGAAACGGUGUCUAAUACUGGAUAUGAGACGUGAUCGCAUGGUCGUGUUUGGAAAGAUUUUUCGGUCUGGGAUGGGCUCGCGGCCUAUCAGCUUGUUGGUGAGGUAAUGGCUCACCAAGGCGUCGACGGGUAGCCGGCCUGAGAGGGUGACCGGCCACACUGGGACUGAGACACGGCCCAGACUCCUACGGGAGGCAGCAGUGGGGAAUAUUGCACAAUGGGCGAAAGCCUGAUGCAGCAACGCCGCGUGAGGGAUGACGGCCUUCGGGUUGUAAACCUCUUUUAGCAGGGAAGAAGCGAAAGUGACGGUACCUGCAGAAAAAGCGCCGGCUAACUACGUGCCAGCAGCCGCGGUAAUACGUAGGGCGCAAGCGUUAUCCGGAAUUAUUGGGCGUAAAGAGCUCGUAGGCGGUUUGUCGCGUCUGCUGUGAAAUCCCGAGGCUCAACCUCGGGCCUGCAGUGGGUACGGGCAGACUAGAGUGCGGUAGGGGAGAUUGGAAUUCCUGGUGUAGCGGUGGAAUGCGCAGAUAUCAGGAGGAACACCGAUGGCGAAGGCAGAUCUCUGGGCCGUAACUGACGCUGAGGAGCGAAAGGGUGGGGAGCAAACAGGCUUAGAUACCCUGGUAGUCCACCCCGUAAACGUUGGGAACUAGUUGUGGGGACCAUUCCACGGUUUCCGUGACGCAGCUAACGCAUUAAGUUCCCCGCCUGGGGAGUACGGCCGCAAGGCUAAAACUCAAAGGAAUUGACGGGGACCCGCACAAGCGGCGGAGCAUGCGGAUUAAUUCGAUGCAACGCGAAGAACCUUACCAAGGCUUGACAUAUACGAGAACGGGCCAGAAAUGGUCAACUCUUUGGACACUCGUAAACAGGUGGUGCAUGGUUGUCGUCAGCUCGUGUCGUGAGAUGUUGGGUUAAGUCCCGCAACGAGCGCAACCCUCGUUCUAUGUUGCCAGCACGUAAUGGUGGGAACUCAUGGGAUACUGCCGGGGUCAACUCGGAGGAAGGUGGGGAUGACGUCAAAUCAUCAUGCCCCUUAUGUCUUGGGCUUCACGCAUGCUACAAUGGCCGGUACAAAGGGCUGCAAUACCGUGAGGUGGAGCGAAUCCCAAAAAGCCGGUCCCAGUUCGGAUUGAGGUCUGCAACUCGACCUCAUGAAGUCGGAGUCGCUAGUAAUCGCAGAUCAGCAACGCUGCGGUGAAUACGUUCCCGGGUCUUGUACACACCGCCCGUCAAGUCAUGAAAGUCGGUAACACCUGAAGCCGGUGGCCCAACCCUUGNGGAGGGAGCCGUCGA